GGCUCUUUGGCAAUGUGGCCAGCGCGUUUGACUCAUACUCAGGAGCUUGGGGUUCAAUCCCCCGCCUGGGCCC